rnacentral:rRNA from 1 species
AAUCAACGCUGGCGGCGUGCCUAACACAUGCAAGUCGAACGCGAAAGUCCCGCAAGGGAUCAGUAGAGUGGCAAACGGGUGAGUAACACGUGGGUGACCUGCCUUCGAGUGGGGGAUAAC